rnacentral:rRNA from 1 species
UGAGGAAUAUUGGUCAAUGGGUGCAAGCCUGAACCAGCCAUCCCGCGUGAAGGACGACUGCCCUAUGGGUUGUAAACUUCUUUUGUAUAGGGAUAAACCUACCCUCGUGAGGGUAGCUGAAGGUACUAUACGAAUAAGCACCGGCUAACUCCGUGCCAGCAGCCGCGGUAAUACGGAGGGUGCAAGCGUUAUCCGGAUUUAUUGGGUUUAAAGGGUCCUUAGGCGGACUUAUAAGUCAGUGGUGAAAGCCUGUCGCUUAACGAUAGAACUGCCAUUGAUACUGUAAGUCUGGAGUAUGUUUGAGGUAGCUGGAAUAAGUAGUGUAGCGGUGAAAUGCAUAGAUAUUACUUAGAACACCAAUUGCGAAGGCAGGUUACCAAUAUAUAACUGACGCUGAGGGACGAAAGCGUGGGGAGCGAA